UACGGGAGGCAGCAGUGGGGAAUAUUGCACAAUGGGCGCAAGCCUGAUGCAGCCAUGCCGCGUGUAUGAAAAAGGCCUUCGGGUUGUAAAGUACUUUCAGUCGUGAGGAAGGUGUUAAGGUUAAUAACCUUAGCAAUUGACGUUAGCGACAGAAGAAGCACCGGCUAACUCCGUGCCAGCAGCCGCGGUAAUACGGAGGGUGCGAGCGUUAAUCGGAAUUACUGGGCGUAAAGGGCACGCAGGCGGUUAAUUAAGUUGGAUGUGAAAUCCCCGGGCUUAACCUGGGAAUGGCAUUCAAGACUGGUUAGCUAGAGUCUUGUAGAGGGGGUAGAAUUCCGAUGUGUAGCGGUGAAAUGCGUAGAGAUGUGGAGGAAUACCGGUGGCGAAGGCGGCCCCUGGACAAAGACUGACGCUCAUGGUGCGAAAGCGUGGGGAGCAAAC
rnacentral:rRNA from 1 species